rnacentral:rRNA from 1 species
UACGUAGGGGGCGAGCGUUGUCCGGAUUUAUUGGGCGUAAAGAGCUCGUAGGCGGUUUGGCAAGUCGGGUGUGAAAACUCCGGGCUCAACUCGGAGACGCCACUCGAUACUGCUAUGACUCGAGUCCGGUAGGGGAGUGCGGAAUUCCUGGUGUAGCGGUGAAAUGCGCAGAUAUCAGGAGGAACACCGGUGGCGAAGGCGGCACUCGUGGGCCUGAUACUGACGCUGAGGAGCGAAAGCGUGGGGAGCAAACAGG